rnacentral:rRNA from 1 species
GAUGAACGCUGGCGGCGUGCCUAAUACAUGCAAGUCGAGCGAACAGACGAGGAGCUUGCUCCUCUGACGUUAGCGGCGGACGGGUGAGUAACACGUGGAUAACCUACCUAUAAGACUGGGAUAACUUCGGGAAACCGGAGCUAAUACCGGAUAAUAUAUUGAACCGCAUGGUUCAAUAGUGAAAGACGGUUUUGCUGUCACUUAUAGAUGGAUCCGCGCCGCAUUAGCUAGUAGGUAAGGUAAAGGCUUACCAAGGCAACGAUGCGUAGCCGACCUGAGAGGGUGAUCGGCCACCCGGGAACGGAGACACGGUCCAGACUCCUACGGGAGGCAGCAGUAGGGAAUCUUCCGCAAUGGGCGAAAGCCUGACAGAGCAACGCCGAGUGAGUGAUGAAGGUCUUCGGAUCGUAAAACUCUGUUAUUAGGGAAGAACAAAUGUGUAAGUAACUAUGCACGUCUUGACGGUACCUAAUCAGAAAGCCACGGCUAACUACGUG